CAAAAACAUGUCUUCUUGAUAAUAUUUUGAAGUCUGACCUGCUCACUGAAUAAUUUUAAAGAGCCGCGGUAUUUUGACCGUGCAAAGGUAGCAUAAUCAUUAGUUUCUUAAUUAGAGGCUUGAAUGAAUGGUUUGACGAGAAAUUAACUGUCUCUUAAUAAAUUUUAGAAUUUAACUUUUGAGUUAAAAGGCUUAAAUAUUUCUUUAGGACGAGAAGACCCUAUAGAGCUUAAUAUUUAUAAAUUUUAUGUAUUUUUAGUUUAUUUUUUUAUAAAGAUUUUUUAAUAUUUGGUUGGGGUGACAUGAAGAAUAAUUAAACUCUUCAUUAUAAAAUCAUUGAUUUAUGUUUAUUUGAUCCAUAAUUUGUGAGCAAAAGAUUAAGUUACCUUAGGGAUAACAGCGUAAUCAUUUUUGAGAGUUCAUAUCGACAAAAUGGAUUGCGACCUCGAUGUUGGAUUAAGAUUAAUUUUAGGUGUAGUAGCUUAAUAAUUAGGUCUGUUCGACCUUUAAAUUCUUACGUGAUCUGAGUUCAAC
rnacentral:rRNA from 1 species